GUCUAUGCAACAUGGUCCUAUGUGGUUCUGCGUCUCCGGAAACAGCUCCUGGAUGCCGCCACUGGGACUCAAGGUGACUGACUGGAUGGAUGAUAAAACUGAUAAGCUAGAUCACUGCUCCAAAGGUCACUCCAGAAAUGGCCGGUGCUUUGGGGACAUGGAGUUUGAUAGCGUUAUGUUGCAGAGUGCAAUGCCACGGGCCAGGGUUGGGGCUCAAUGGGCAGCUGUGAAGAGAAUCCCCUGUGCUUAAGCUUGUAGGAAAGCCUCUCAAGCUGGGCGACCGAAGACUGAUGCUACCUUGGUAUCUCUGCCUCCAAAACAAAGCCAUAGAGUCCACAAGAGCCUGGAUGGCCACUUAGCCUAUAUUUGUCUCAGAAGGUUUCCGCUUGGCUGACAGACACCAUCCAGGGAUCACCUGUGGAUUGCAAACUGCUGUGCUCUGGAUUUGCUGAAAGCUGAUGUAAACCAGCCCAUCAUACAUGACUGCUCCCUGCCUCUUCAUCUGGGUCAGCUAACCAGAUAAAUACCCAGUUGCCCAGCCUUUGACCAGCUUUUCAGCCUUCCUGGCCCCUGACAAUGAUGCUGCAGUUUCAGCUGGAAAUGCUUACAAAGAGAACGUGUGGUCCCUUGCUGACAUGCAAAGUCAAAAGGAAACUCCUUGGCAUAGGGAACAAAAUGGCUACCUGUAAUGCCGAUUGGCAUGCCUGGAAAGGGGGCCUAGAUUUAUCAACAGGUAGGUUCAUUAACUGAAAUAGUUCCACAAUAUGAUAGGGCACUCGGCCUGCUUUAUUCAGAGAAAAGAGAUGUUACAUGGCUUUAAGAAUACAUUACUAUUUUUAUAUAAACCAUUCAGGAUUAUAGUCUGGCUGUAUUCAAAGACAUAUUACAAAAAUGGGACCUGAGGUGAAAUAAAUGACUGGUGUCCUGUUCAUUUCCAGGCUCCUUCUAGUUAGUAACUCUAAAUCACAAGGCAUUUGGCCCUUCUGCGCUUGCUAAUUACUGUUGGCUCUUGCAUCAGCUAAGUGAUAAUUUCUGUCUGGGUACUCUGAAGCUGAUAUUAGAUCCCAAAAUAAACGAGUACCCAUCACAGAGUCAAGGAUUUUUAUCCAUGUUACAACUCAAGGGGUGGCAUGUAGGAGUCAAGGUCCCCACCUGUAAGCCUCACCAGCCCAAGGACAAGGUAGCAUCCUGGAACACUGGGAAUUGUAGUUCUUGAAUAACAACAAAACCACAUGGGAAAUAAGGCGGUGGCAUGGUUUUGCCCUUAAAAAGCCCCUACAGCAUGUGACUCGAUGCCAUUUACUGGGAUUCCAGAGAGUGGACCUGACCAGAGCCCAUCCUGGUCAGUAUUUAAUUAAAGCUUGCUUCAAAUUUGGCUCAGAAUUGUAGCACUGGUUUUUCUCUUGCAAA